UGGGGGGCCCUUCGGGAGGCAGCAGUAGGGAAUCUUCCGCAAUGGGCGAAAGCCUGACGGAGCAACGCCGCGUGAGUGAUGAAGGGUUUCGGCUCGUAAAACUCUGUUAUUAGGGAAGAACAAACGUGUAAGUAACUGUGCACGUCUUGACGGUACCUAAUCAGAAAGCCACGGCUAACUACGUGCCAGCAGCCGCGGUAAUACGUAGGUGGCAAGCGUUAUCCGGAAUUAUUGGGCGUAAAGCGCGCGUAGGCGGUUUCUUAAGUCUGAUGUGAAAGCCCACGGCUCAACCGUGGAGGGUCAUUGGAAACUGGGAAACUUGAGUGCAGAAGAGGAAAGUGGAAUUCCAUGUGUAGCGGUGAAAUGCGCAGAGAUAUGGAGGAACACCAGUGGCGAAGGCGACUUUCUGGUCUGUAACUGACGCUGAUGUGCGAAAGCGUGGGGAUCAAACAGGAUUAGAUACCCUGGUAGUCCACGCCGUAAACGAUGAGUGCUAAGUGUUAGGGGGUUUCCGCCCCUUAGUGCUGCAGCUAACGCAUUAAGCACUCUGCCUCGA
rnacentral:rRNA from 1 species